GUUCAAUUGUACAUAUCGUAGCUCUUUGGUCUUUGUGGUUAGUUGUUAGUUGUUUAUAAACUGACAAUAUUUUUGUAAUGAAACUAUUUUACUAUAUCAUUCAAAUUGGCAAUACUUAAACUGACUGUUCCGUUAUACAGUUAGGAUGACAACUGUUAUAGAAUGACAUGGGCACAGGUACAUGUAUAUAUUGUUUUAUCAAUGCACC
rnacentral:lncRNA from 1 species